AAUCAGCGGGGAAAGAAGACCGUGUUGAGCUUGACUCUAGUCCGACUUUGUGAAAAGACAUAGAGGGUGUAGCAUAAGUGGGAGGCCGGGGGGUCCUCGUGGCCCCUCGCCAGCAGUGAAAUACCACUACCUUUAUCGUUUUUUUACUUAUUUAGUGAAGUAGAACCUGGGCCGUGGGCGGGGCCGGCGCCCCUCCCCCCUUUGCGGGGGGGGGUGGGCGCUCCCGCCCAACCAAACCGGCCCUUCUUCUGGAUUUAAGGGCGCCUCCCUUUUCUCGUAAAAGGGGCCCCGAUCUAGGCUAAAGACAUUGUCAGGUGGGGAGUUUGGCUGGGGGGGCACAUCUGCUAAACGAUAACG
rnacentral:rRNA from 1 species